rnacentral:sRNA from 1 species
UAAGUACCUGGGCCACAUUGUAACGGAU